GAUUCCAGCACUACACAGCCUGAAGGUUCUCAGCAACCUGUUCCUGAAAACCCUGCCAUUUCGUCCUGCUAGAAGAAAAAACCUGAUGGUGCUACCUUCCUUGAAGACGUGAGGGAACGCAUCGACGGAUUCAUCUGAGUCUCCAUGGAUGAGCGCAAGACCUGCUCAAGAAGACUCUUCAGAAGGUAUUUGUGCUAG
rnacentral:rRNA from 1 species